UCACAGCAUGAAACAUUCCACACAGAGCAUCUGGGUGGUCCUCGUUCAAUUUUUGGAGUGUUUUCACACAGUCUGGAGGAAAGGGAUAGAGAAGGACAUAGAGGAACUGCUGCAGGCAUUAAUUCCAGUACAAAGCCCAGCAGCUCAUUAACGGGUUUUCACAGAAGUCCCAGAAUCAUGGAAUGGGUCAGGCUGGAAGGGACCACAGUGGGGUUGUCUGGUUCAACCUCUGCUCACACAGGGCCAUCCCAAGACACAGGGCACAGGAUUGUGUCUCCAGACAGCUCUGGAAUGUCUCCACACCCUCUCUGGGAUCUGUUCAACGCUUGGCCAUUGCACAGGGAAGAAGUUCUGCCUUAUGACCAGUCAUGCCAGAAAGACAAUGCAAGGCAGAGGACUCAUGGAGAGGGGCCUGCAGCAGCCCUGCCUGACAACACAAGCUGAAGGCAGCUUCCCAUGAUGGAGAUGUUGCAGGCAAUUAAUCUCAGUAUUCUGCAGUCCUGACCAUCGGAAAAUCUCUCCUGAUAUCACAGAAUCACAAAAUUAUUUAGAUUGGAAAAGAUCUCUGAGGCUGAGCCCAAAUUUUGACCCAUCCCCACCUCAUCACCCAGCCCAGAGCUGAGUGCCAUGUCUAUUUGUCCCUUGGAUACCUCCAGGGAUGGGGACUCCACCACCUCCCUGGGCAGCCCCUUCCGAUGCUUAACAACAUUUUCCAUGAAGAAAUUCUUCCUAACGUCCAACCUCAACCUCCCCUGGCACAACCUGAGGCUGUUUCCUCCUGUCCUGUCCCUUGUUCCCUGGGAGCAGAGGCUGAUCCCCCACCCCCAGCUGCCCCCUCCUGUCGGGGAGUUCUGCAGAGCCAGAAGGUCCCACCUGAGCCUCCUUUUCUCCAGGCUGAGCCCCUCCACUUCCCUCAGCUGCUCAAACAACCCAACCGAGCCCAAAGAAGCUUAAACUUUUCCCCUGGAUUUCUUCUCCCGUGAUAAAAAAAUCCCUUCAUGGAUUUGAACAGCACUACCACAUUCUGCUCAGCCCUCUGCAGGAGAGAAUUAUUCCAAUAUUUCCCCACAGGUGGUUUUUCCCUGUUGGAUACUCUCUUGGUUCCCACUGGCUAUUCCUGAAUUAGGACAAAUCUUUCUGGAAAUGGAGUGCCCCACUUUACAUAAUCUCCUCCAAGUGAGGAGCUCCCAGGGGUGAGCAGAGCAUCUCUGGCAGGUUACACAGCCUAGAACUGUGUUCAUCUUUCUCAUGGCAGCCCAGUGUGUUGAUCUGGGGGCAGGUUGUGAUUCAUUACAGCCUCCAGAUGUGGGUUUAUUUCUUUUUAUUUUUUUUUUCUGAGAGCUCAUGUCUGAUCAGUUGUUCCCAGCCCUGAAAUUAAUUAGGAAAUUACUGAAGUUAAACUUCCUGACUAAGGCCAUGCUGGAAUAAAACCAGGCUAUAGGGUGAGUGUAGGAACAUUUGUUUCCUUGCUAAAAAUUUUACCAUCAUAGUCAGGACCUGAAUCUUCCUCGUCCAGCCACAGAUCUACUGAUAAUGGGACUUUGGGGGAAAGUAAGAGCGUAUAAAGGGAAUUUAAUCUUUUA